UUGACGGGGCCGCACAAGCGGUGGAGCAUGUGGUUCAAUUCGAUGCAACGCGAAGAACCUUACCUGGGCUUGAACCGCACCUGUAAACCUGUGGAAACACGGGUCCCUCCUUCGGGAGCAGGUGUAGAGGUGCUGCAUGGCUGUCGUCAGCUCGUGUCGUGAGAUGUUGGGUUAAGUCCCGCAACAAGCGCAACCCCUGCCCUUAGUUGCCAUCGGGUCACGCCGGGAACUCUAAGGGGACCGCCCCGGACAACGGGGAGGAAGGUGGGGAUGACGUCAAAUCAUCAUGCCCUUUAUGUCCUGGGCUACACACGUGCUACAAUGGUCGGUACAACGAGAAGCAAGUCAGCGAUGGCAAGCAAAUCUCUAAAAGCCGAUCCCAGUUCGGAUUGCAGGCUGCAACUCGCCUGCAUGAAGUCGGAGUUGCUAGUAAUCGCGGAUCAGAAUGCCGCGGUGAAUGCGUUCCCGGGUCUU
rnacentral:rRNA from 1 species